AUGCCUGGCUCCCCGUCCUCAGGCGGCAGCCGGGCGCCCCGCUCCGCCUCCCCUUCCUCUCCGGGCUCCGGGGCCGCAGCCGGACAGGGGCCCUCUAGGCUCUAUCUGGGGCUGCAGGCGGCUCGUCGCUGCUGCUGCUGCUGCUGCUGUUGCUGCUGCAGCUUCUUCCUAAGGGGCAGUCCCGCGCCGGGCUCGCUCAGCUCCGCAGGGUUAGGCUCCAUGUCCCCCGGGGCGGGGUCCCGUCCCGUCUGCCCGCGGGGAGGGCUGUCCCGGCUGCGGCGGGGGCAGGGGCAGGGGUGCGAGCACUCGCUGAGUCAGUCAGAAGGAGGAAGAGGAGGAGGAGAAGGAAGAGAAGUCAGGAGCCGAGGUCUCUCAGCGCUGCGGGCCGCGGCUCUCCAUCCCCUGGGAACUGGCUCCGGCUUCUUCCGCACUCCGCCGCGGCUCCUCCCUGGAGAGGGGCCUGUCCCAGCUCGGCCUGCAGGGAGCCGCGGCGGCGAAGGCAACGGCAGCAGGGACACCCCUCAGGGCCGAUUCACCAGGUCCCGCGGGGCUUUCUCGGGAGCGCGCUUGGGACGGAGGGGGAGGGGGAAACAGGGAAUGCGCUGGACGCCCAAGGUAAGUGGCGGGGGGAUAGGAGGGGGUCACGACGAUUCCAGCAGCGUGCACGGGUUCCGGUUCCGGUUCUGUCCUCUGCAGCUCCAAGCUAGCUCUCCCACACUCACUCUCCUCCCCCGCCCUACUUUUCUCUCUCUCUUUUGCUUUUUUUUUUCCCUGCCUCUUCUCUUACUUCUGGAGACCGCCUCACGCAAGAUUCCUCCGCGCAGCUCAUACACACACACACAGAGCACAGGGGCGCCGCUGCUGCAGCCUCUUCCCAGAUCCGGGCGCCUCCCCCGCAGGCAGCGCAUUGGAGUAGGAAAGAAAAAGUAGUCCAGCCAAGGAGGGGCCGGCCGUCAGAUUUCAGGGUCUGGUAACGAACCUGCACUCUUUGGUGAAGCCAGCAGCCCCCAGAAGAGCUAGUUGUAGGACCCACGUCAGUAAUUCUCUUUUCCUGACUUUUCUCGUUUUGGAACUUGGAACUGUAGGGUUAAAUCUCAGCAGUGGUACUUGGAGCAAUCACUAAGGCCCCAGUUCCUCUAACCUUAUUUGUAAGAUGGGGGUUGCGAGUAGCUUGGGGUUGGACUUAAGCUUUGGCCCAAAUUCCAUCCAACUCUAGGAUCCAAUACACCGUAUGAACGCUUUUCCUCAGGUGAAUAGUAUUUCUCCAUUGCCCUCAUGCUGAAGAGCUGCUGGUGCCUAGUUAUAUCCUGACUGUCUCCUAUUCAAAAGGCGAAGCAAUUAGAGAGAGAGAGAGAGAGAGACUGGCUCCACUUGGCUCAAAGAGGGAACCUCCUGGUGGCCUUGAAAACAGACUAGAGACACCCAAAUGGGACAAAAGCUUCUUCAUCUGUGCAGCAGGAAGAUAUUGGGAGACUAAUUCCUAUGGCUAAGUAUUAGUGAUAAAUGCUAUCAUUGGAGAAAAAUGCAAAUGGUUUGAGAAUUUUAUCUGAGAAAUUUAAUACCUGUGUAACCUUGAGCAAGUCACUUGGCUUCUCUAUCUUUGUUUUCUGAUCUCUUAGGUCCCUUCUGGCUGUAUAUUUUGUGAUAUCUUGAUAUGUUACCUUUAGCCUGUUUUCUGCCUUGAAAAAUAGGGUGUGUUAUUUGCAGUCACAGAAGAGAGCAUGCAAUGCUGUUUUCUCUGCAGUUCUCAUAGCUGUUUGUGGAAUGAAAAGAAAGGGCAUUUUCUGGUAUUUUGAUCAAAGUGCUUACAGCUGAGUUGAAACCUGAACUGCCAUCUCAAGCCCAGUGGAAUCCACAUAGUAAAUUCCCAUGGAAUCCAGCCAUAGCCUCUCAAGCGCAGGAGAUUAAUGUACUAAAGCCCCUGAGAACUAGAAUACAGUUUUCCUGGUAUAACAGAACCUGGUCAACAGGUCCCUAUAAAUUUCUCCAUACUACUGCAGCUUGCCUAGAAAAGCCUAAAGUCCUGUAAGCUGUAGAAAUGGUCUUGCUGGGACUGCAAGUAAGUAUGUUCCCUCCCCUAUACUCUCCUAUUCUGCAAGGAUUAUCUGUUGUUGUGGCAGAGAUUAAGUUUGGUCUCCAUGAUCCAUACCAAAAUGCCAAUGACACCUCUACCAAAUUCUCUCUAACAGUGGUGGCAUAGACCAGAUGAGGAAUAUAAAUAAAUACAUUAGGUAAUAAAUAAAUGGAAGAAAUCACUCUUCUCAAAGUGACAUGGGUAAUAUAAUUCACUUCACUGGUCCUUCCAAGCUACCCUAAAACAUGAGGACCUUUAGACAAUAAUCAGGGAUCCCAGCAGAGCUCUCCACAUAGUUCUGAUUUGACUCAAAUCCUCAUACCUCUUGCAAUGAAGCCUCAGUUACUUCAAGUGUGCCAGUGCAAAAGUUAAUACUCAAUACUGACAUUCAUAUUUGUGCUCUAGAACUGAAUAAAUUCCCUGAAAUUAAGCCCCUAAAAAAAAAAAACACUUCUCCUAAGUUUGCUAUGAGUAUCAAAUUCCAUAGCAGAACCACCACUUGAUUCCCAAGCCUACCCUUUUAAGACAGUGAAGUUCCUAACCCUCAUUCUUAGCAAACUGUAAGCCCUGAUUAGUGUACUUUGAGAUGUCCGUUGGUUUUCAGUUGUCGGUCCUCACCCCUACGGUUCCUCCAGGCAUGGUAUUUCUUGAUGCUCUUCUUCCAGGCAAAGCGCCAAAUGCUGAACAUGAAACACCAGGACACCGCAUACAUGGCUACUCCACCUGCCUUAACAAACCACUUGGGCUUAGGGGAAGCCAUUUCACAGAAAAGAAGCCGUGCCCCGACCCCAAUCCUCACUCCGGUGAAUAAAGCCACAAAGAGAAAGUCGACAACGUCCCCUGUGAAACUGUGGUAGUGCCCCGUUUCCCGGAGGAACCAUCGAAUCUGUAGCAAUGGGUUAGUGAUCUCACUACCAAAGAUAACAGCAUUGACCUCAGUGCCUGACUCCCCAAGAGCAAGAGCCAUGAUGAUACCCAAGAUACUCAAUGUGUGAUGAGCCAACAUCAGAGCUCCCUCUGUCUGGAAGUAGAUGCACCAGCCAAGAUCAAAGAUGAAGUAGCCAAGGGUGAGACAUAGAACAUGUACUUGAAGAGGAGUGUUGGGUAAUCCUGAAAUAAACAAAAAAAAAGAUUAAAUUGGGUUUCUGUGAACCAUGCUAUCUUUCCCAGAAGUCCUAUACCAUCUUCCAAGCUUCUGUAGCCUCAAUUAAAGCCAGAAUAAUUGCAAGGACA